ACCAAGCAGAGGCCAAGGAGAACUAGGAUCCACAGAAAGGACAGGAGAUGUUUAUUCUGGAGAAACGAACACUUUGGAAAGCCAUGACAGCAGCCUCCAAAUAUCUGAAGGGCCAUCAUGUGGAAAAGGGAAGAGACUUGCUUUUCUUGGCAUCACAGAGCAGAACUAGGACCAAUGGGUGGAAGCUUCAAAGAGGCAGAUUUAAGGUUGUUCAAAGACAAAUUUCCUAACCAUCGCAGCUGAAAUGGGCUACCUCUAAUGGUAGCUGGGUCCUCCAUCACCAAAGGCUGGUUGACCUCAGUUUUUUCUCCUAGUGAUCAAAGACUCUGAAGUUCUCUUAUAUAGAUCCAUAAAUAGACAAUUUUAGGAGCUAAUAUUUCACUCCUCCCUUGAACAUCCCAAGACAUAUCAAAUUGGUGAAGAGAUGAUCCAUCAAAAUGCUGAUUCAAGCAACCUCCUGAUAAGAAUAUUUUCUUCUCUGAGAAGUGGUGGAGUCCUAGGAAAGCCCUCCGUCUUGGCAGCAGGCCCUGGCUCAAGAACUCCUGACUUCUGAAACUUGUUCAUGAACCUCCAUCCUUAAGAAACACUGUACUAGUUCAGAAUGCCUGUCCUUAUUCCCUUUCAUGGAAUUGGGAAAGAAGCUGCUAUUCUUAGGAAGAUCAAUAAAGGAACUCUUGCCACUG